rnacentral:rRNA from 1 species
AUGAACGCUGGCGGCGUGCCUAAUACAUGCAAGUCGAGCGAACGGACGAGAAGCUUGCUUCUCUGAUGUUAGCGGCGGACGGGUGAGUAACACGUGGAUAACCUACCUAUAAGACUGGGAUAACUUCGGGAAACCGUAGCUAAUACCGGAUAAUAUUUUGAACCGCAUGGUUCAAAAGUGAAAGACGGUCUUGCUGUCACUUAUAGAUGGAUCCGCGCUGCAUUAGCUAGUUGGUAAGGUAACGGCUUACCAAGGCAACGAUGCAUAGCCGACCUGAGAGGGUGAUCGGCCACACUGGAACUGAGACACGGUCCAGACUCCUACGGGAGGCAGCAGUAGGGAAUCUUCCGCAAUGGGCGAAAGCCUGACGGAGCAACGACGCGUGAGUGAUGAAGGUCUUCGGAUCGUAAAACUCUGUUAUUAGGGAAGAACAUAUGUGUAAGUAACUGUGCACAUCUUGACGGUACCUAAUCAGAAAGCCACGGCUAACUACGUG